GGCUCUUUGGUUAUAUAAGUAUAAAGAGUCGAGCCUGCCCGGUGAAAAUUAUUUAACGGCCGCGGUACUCUGACCGUGCAAAGGUAGCAUAAUCAUUUGCCUUAUAAUUGAAGGCUAGUAUGAAUGGUUUGACGAGAACAGCACUGUCUCCUUUUUAUUUUCAAGAAUUUAACUUUUAGGUGAAGAGGCCUAAAUCUUAUUGAAGGACAAGAAGACCCUGUCGAGCUUAAAAGAUGUUGUAGAAUCUUAUAUACUUUUAAAUAAAUUUUCUAUUAAAGAACUUUUUAGUUGGGGCGACUAAGGAACAAAAAAAGCUUCUUGUUAAUAAUAAACAGUCAUGUUUAGAUCCAAUAAAGUAAUUGAUUAAAGAAAUUAGUUACCGCAGGGAUAACAGCAUAAUCUCUCUUGAGAGGCCUAAUUGAAAGAGGGGGUUGUGACCUCGAUGUUGGACUAGAAUAUCCUAAAGAUGCAGAAGUCUUUGAGGGUUGGUCUGUUCGACCAUUAAAAUUCU
rnacentral:rRNA from 1 species